GCCGGGCUCAGUGGUGCACCCCUGUAAUCCCAGCAGCUCGGGAGGCUGAGACAGGAGGAUCGUGAGAUCAAAGCCAGCCUCAGCAACAGCGAGACGCUAAGCAACUCCGUGAGACCCUGUCUCUA
rnacentral:sRNA from 1 species